rnacentral:rRNA from 1 species
GGGGCAAAUUUAAUAAAAAAUAAAUAUGAAAAAAAAUUUUAAUAUAAAAUAUUUAAUGGGGGUUAAAGUAUUUUUAUAGAAAAAAUUAAUAAAUUUAUAGUGAAUUAGUAUUGUAAAAGAAAAUUGAAAAUAUUGAAAUAAAAAUUUAUUUAAAAGUAAAUUUUAUUUAUUGUAUCUUGUGUAUCAGAGUUUUUUAAAAAAAUAAUUUGGUUAAAUUUAUUUCGAAUUUUAAAGAGUUAAUUAAUUAAAAAAGUUAAUAUUGCAUAAUUAUUUUUAAUAAUUAAUUGGAAAUGAAAAGUUAAUCGUUUUAAAAGAUAUCUAAUUUUUUUAGAAAAAAAUUUAAUUUUAAAUAAUUUUUUUUUACUCAUUUAUUAAUUAAUAAGUAAAAAAAUUAAUUUUAUAUUUUAGGGGAUAAGCUUUAAAUUAAAUUUUUAUAAUAAAAAUAAGAUAAAUUGAAAUUUUUAAAAUUUAUAUUGUUUAAAAAUUAUAAUUUUUUAUAAAUAAUUUCAUUUGAUUAAAAUUUUAUUUUAGUUUAAUUUUUUAUAAAAAAAUAUUUUUUAUUGAUUAAAAAAUAGAUAUAAUGAUAAAAUUAGUAUAUAAUUUAAAAUAAAAGAAAAAAUUAUUUAAAUUAAUAAAAAGGAAUUCGGCAAAAAUUUAUAUUCACUUGUUUAUCAAAAACAUGUCUUUUUGAAAAUAAUAUAAAGUCUAAUCUGCCCACUGAAUUAUUUUAAAGGGCUGCAGUAUAUUGACUGUACAAAGGUAGCAUAAUCAUUAGUCUUUUAAUUGAAGACUGGAAUGAAUGAUUUGAUGAAAUAUAAACUGUCUCUUUAUUAAAAAUAGAAUUUAAUUUUUUAGUCAAAAAGCUAAAAUUUGUAUAAAAGACGAGAAGACCCUAUAGAGUUUUAUAUUUUUAUUAAUAUUAAUUUUAUAUAAAAUUUUUUAUUGAUAUUGAUAAAAAUAUUUUGUUGGGGUGAUAGAAAAAUUUAAAAAACUUUUUUUAAAAAAUUAACAUUAAUUUAUGAAAUUUUGAUCCAUACUUUGUGAUUAUAAGAUUAAAUUACCUUAGGGAUAACAGCGUAAUUUUUUUUUUUAGUUCGUAUAAGAAAAAAAGUUUGCGACCUCGAUGUUGGAUUAAGAUAAAAUUUAGAUGCAAAAGUUUAAAAUUUUGAUCUGUUCGAUCAUUAAAAUCUUACAUGAUCUGAGUUCAAACCGGUGUGAGCCAGGUUGGUUUCUAUCUUUAUAAUAAUAUAAUAAUUUAGUACGAAAGGAUCAGUUAUUAGAAAUAAUUUUAAAUUUAAGAAUUUUAAUAAUUUAUUUUU